UUUCUAACAACAACACAGUGUGGUUAAUUCUCUGUAAUUGGCUUUCAUUUAUCUGCUUCUAUAAACAACAUUUGAUUUUAUUUUUAUUUUAUCUUUUCAGGCCAUGUAUUCCAAUACUUCCAUCUCUAUUGGAAUGAAAGGUGCAAGCAAAGCAAUGGCAGCUAUGAAUAAACAAAUGGCACCAGCAAAGCAGGCCAAAGUGAUGCAAGAAUUCCAGAAGCAGUCAGCACAAAUAGACAUGACGGUAAUUUUUGUUGAUACUAAUUCCUACUCUGAGCUUUCAAUACUCUUUAUAUUUAUUAGCUUACACUGCAUUUCGAUGCACAAGCAAAUUGAAUUGUGAAUAUUUCAUUUAGUACUCAUAGCGAGGAAACUGCCCCAAAAUUUAGGA